rnacentral:rRNA from 1 species
AAGUCCGACGGUACAGGGUGAUAGUCCCGUACACCAAAAUGCACAGGUUGUGAACUCGAAGAGUAGGGCGGGACACGUGGUAUCCUGUCUGAAUAUGGGGGGACCAUCCUCCAAGGCUAAAUACUCCUGACUGACCGAUAGUGAACCAGUACCGUGAGGGAAAGGCGAAAAGAACCCCGGCGAGGGGAGUGAAAAAGAACCUGAAACCGUGUACGUACAAGCAGUGGGAGCCUCUUUAUGGGGUGACUGCGUACCUUUUGUAUAAUGGGUCAGCGACUUAUAUUCUGUAGCAAGGUUAACCGUAUAGGGGAGCCGAAGGGAAACCGAGUCUUAACUGGGCGUUAAGUUGCAGGGUAUAGACCCGAAACCCGGUGAUCUAGCAUGGGCAGGUUGAAGGUUGGGUAACACUAACUGGAGG